GGUCUCGUAGCUCAGUUGGUUAGAGCGUACGCUUCACAUGAUUUGCUCUCAUACUGGUGCAUAAUCGUCUGAACGCGUAAGGUCGGCGGUUCGAUCCCGCCCGCGAUCA
rnacentral:tRNA from 1 species